rnacentral:misc_RNA from 1 species
AAUCAUUGUAAAGGUAAAGAAGUCCAGCUAAAGUUGGGUGCUUUGGUUUCUCACCUUAUUAAAUGUCAUCCUGCCUCCCCUCCAUUCCUAUUCAAAUUUUGAACUAAACCCACUUCAAGAAUAAUCAUCUCCAACACUAUUCUUUAAGCCCUCAUUGAAUAUUUUUGAGACUAGUAAAGAGAUAUAUUUCAGAAGCCUGUGGUUAUGAAGUAAGAAGGGGGUGACAGUGAGCAAAGAGAAGUUCUAAAAAUGAGCACAGCUAGGUUCAU